GAUGAACGCUGGCGGCGUGCCUAAUACAUGCAAGUCGAGCGAACAGACGAGGAGCUUGCUCCUCUGACGUUAGCGGCGGACGGGUGAGUAACACGUGGAUAACCUACCUAUAAGACUGGGAUAACUUCGGGAAACCGGAGCUAAUACCGGAUAAUAUAUUGAACCGCAUGGUUCAAUAGUGAAAGACGGUUUUGCUGUCACUUAUAGAUGGAUCCGCGCCGCAUUAGCUAGUUGGUAAGGUAACGGCUUACCAAGGCAACGAUGCGUAGCCGACCUGAGAGGGUGAUCGGCCACACUGGAACUGAGACACGGUCCAGACUCCUACGGGAGGCAGCAGUAGGGAAUCUACCGCAAUGGGCGAAAGCCUGACGGAGCAACGCCGCGUGAGUGAUGAAGGUCUUCGGAUCGUAAACCUCUGUUAUUAGGGAAGAACAAAUGUGUAAGUAACUAUGCACGUCUUGACGGUACCUAAUCAGAAAGCCACGGCUAACUACGU
rnacentral:rRNA from 1 species